GCUGGGCGUGCUGGAGUGUGCCUGUAGUCCCAGCCACUCAGGAGGCUGAGGCAGGAGGAUCACUUGAGCCCGGGAGUUCUGGGGCUGUAGUGCACUAUGCUAAUCUGGUGUCCACACUAAGUUCGGCAUCAAUAUGUUGACCUUCUGGGAGUGGGAGACCACCAGGUUGCCUAAGGAGAGGUGAACCAGCCCAGGUUGGAAAUGGAGCAGGUCAAAAACUCCCAUGCUGAUCAGCAGUGGGAUCACACUGCAUGCACUCCAGCCCGGGCAACAUAGCGAGACCCUGUCUCUA
rfam:Homo sapiens chromosome 2, GRCh38 reference primary assembly.